rnacentral:rRNA from 1 species
UACGUAGGGUGCGAGCGUUAAUCGGAAUUACUGGGCGUAAAGCGUGCGCAGGCGGUCUGUUAAGACCGAUGUGAAAUCCCCGGGCUUAACCUGGGAACUGCAUUGGUGACUGGCAGGCUUUGAGUGUGGCAGAGGGGGGUAGAAUUCCACGUGUAGCAGUGAAAUGCGUAGAGAUGCGGAGGAACACCGAUGGCGAAGGCAGCCCCCUGGGCUAGCACUGACGCUCAGGCACGAAAGCGUGGGGAGCAAACAGG